UACAGAGGUCUCAAGCGUUGUUCGGCUUCAUUGGGCGUAAAGGGUGCGUAGGUGGUUGGGUAAGUCAAAUGUGAAAUCCCGGAGCUCAACUCCGGAACUGCAUUCGAUACUGCCCGGCUCGAGGAUUGGAGAGGAGACUGGAAUUCACGGUGUAGCAGUGAAAUGCGUAGAGAUCGUGAGGAACACCCGUGGCGAAGGCGGGUCUCUGGACAAUUCCUGACACUGAGGCACGAAGGCCAGUGGAGCAAACAGG
rnacentral:rRNA from 1 species